rnacentral:lncRNA from 1 species
UGUCAUCAUUGGCCUCCUUAUCUUGUUGGACUUGAAAGGCAUGUUGAGAUUUGGUAAGUUUAUUUUGCACUUGUAGGAGCUCUAGCUUUCACCUCCUAUCCUCCAUGAAAUCAUUUCCUUAUUGAAUCAACUCAGCAAUGUAGUUUGAACUCAUGUUUAUGGAUCUUUCAAUUCCUUUCCCUUUCUUUUUUGCAACCUUCUGUUUAUCUCGUCCAAGUGGCCUUGGAGUGGG